GUCAGUCUGGGCUUUGAUGACCAGACAUCACUUUUUCUUCCUGGGGAUGGAGCCAAUGGUCCUGUCUCUCAUCCCUCAGCACGAGGUCAGCAGGCAGCCAAGAGGAAACCAACUUUGUGGAAGUCAAACCUUGCCAUAAGUGAGUGAGGCUCGCAUGGUGCCUCCAUGCUUCCCAAGGAAAACUGGAUGCUUCCAGAGUCUGGUGUCUUUAAUGACACAGGCAGUUCCUCUGUCCGAGCCACUGAGGUCCUAUUAGGAACCCAGGGGACCCAGCUACAGCUGAGGAGCAGAGGCCCCGCAGAUCCCUAGUCUAAGUUUCCACAGGACAAAAGCCCCGUUGCUCAGCCCCAUUGCAAGAGCUUGUCUGCUUUUAUUUAUUUUUUUAGUUUUAAAUAUUUGUAUGUGUAUAGUUGCUAUUCCUGGUUGUCAGCUUGACUGUAUCUGGAAUGAGCUACAAUCCGGAAUUGGAAGGCUCACCUGUGAUCCUGAUCUGGAGGCUGGGAGAUAGAAGUUUCUGACCUGGAUCUUGGUAUAGAGAUCUUGAGGCAUAGUGGCUAUGAAUCCCAGGAGACUGCAGCAAGGAGAUCUCUGAGUUCAAGGUCAUCUGGGACAAAGUAAGUUCCAGAUCCAGGCAUGGUGGCACACACCUUUAAUCUCGGCCACACCUUCUAGUGGAGACCUACAUUGGAAGAAGGAAGAGUCUUCUUUGCCUGCUUGCCUUGUCGGACUGAGCAACUGCUAGAUCCUCGGACUUCCAUUCACGGCUGCUGCUGAUCAUUGUUGGGGAGUUGGACUACUGACUAUGACGCCAACUGCUGACGACUACAUACCGAGAGCCCACAGGCUUCACGCUCAGUUCCAGAAUUCACAAAGGAAACCAAGAGAGAUGAAUUCUGUCCCUAACCCAGUCUCAGCCACAGAAAGGGUCAGGGUGGAUAAAGGAUAAUCAUAUUCACUAGCCAUGAUCAAUGAAGCUGUUACAAGAAGACGAAGGGUCGAGAAGGAGAGAGGCGAGCUUGUCGGACGGCAUCGAUAAUUACUUCCUUCAGGUCGGGGUUGCGGAGGUUUCUUGGAAAGAGAGUUGAGAACGGUUGCAGAAACUGUCGCACCGUGGGAUCGGUCCCAGGGUCAUCCCUGGGCUCCAGAGCACUUCAGGUCCUUCAUCCCUGGCUGCCUCGAAGCAGACUCCAGGAGCACAGUGCCCCUGAAAUAAGAUCACAGAGGAAGAGCUGCAGGGAUUCUCAUUGCCCCCCCUUCCCUGUCAAGGGUGACUGUCUUCAGCUCAUUUAACGAGGAGAGAACUCAGGACCAACCUGCAGCCAGGGGGGGGGGGGUUGGGGAGGCGCAGGCCCCCACACAGUCACAGCCCAGGCUGCAGUCUGGUUUCCCAGGACGAGGACAGGCAGCAAGUUGUUGCUGACGCCGGUGUGACCCUGGAGCCACCCCUCCCACAGAACAUUUGUCUUCUCCCCGACUGCCCUACGGCCCACAGGGCCGCAGCUCAUAUUUCCUGGGCUUUGGCGUGGGAGCAAAAAAACGGGAGAGUCUGACAGGAAUGAGGAAGAGCCGGUGGGGAGUCCCUCCAAGGUCUGCAGGCGGGAUAUGUGCAGGAUGUGAGCUGGAGGCAUCGUGGAGUCUUUCCUGGGUGCCAGGCACUGGGCUCCAUGCCUUCCUCGUAUCUGCACACAAUAAGAUUGCUCAGACUGGUCAACUUCUCAUGCUCAAACCUGAGCUCUUGAUUUCGACACCUCCAAGGGUGGCUCUUUCCCCUGUUGGCCAAGUUGCUCAGUACACAGUGAGGUGGCUGCCCGGCAUCUCCCUCACACCCAAUCUGUCAGUAGACCGACAGGCUUUAUCUCAAGCAGCCUUCACCUCUUCCUUCCACAGCUGACACCCUGGUGAGAGUCCAGGCUGUUUCCGGGGGGCACGGCCACCAUUGCCUGUCCCCACCUGGCUCCCGGCUUCUUGCCUUGCACCGACUCGCCACAGCUGGGAGGGAUCCACAGCUCCAGAUCAGCCUGGGAGCAAAGUUGUCUCAACCGUGGCCUGAGUGUCUGCUCAGCGGUCACCUCCUCUCUCUUAGCGCCCCCUCAGUGACAUGACAGGAACACUGGUGGCUAACUCCCCCUGUGGAGUCCAGAGACCGGUUCAAGAGUGGCAUCAGUAUGAUGUGGGAGGUGCCCACCUGAGACAUUCCAGUGCUGCCUGGGCAAAGCCUGGCACCGGGCCUCUACAGCAGUUCCAUGAGUGUGUACCCCAUGGGUGCCCAGAGGCCAGAGGAGAGCAAGGUUGAAUCUAAGCACCCACGGCAGCAACACCAAGCUCUGGUCAGCACGUUGUUCCUGCUUCCUCCAUUUUGGCUCUGUGUCUUUCAGAGUUUCUAAAAUGAAGCAUCACAGGGCUUUCAGUAUCAGGUACAAGGCGGUAAAUGUUAAAAACUUAUCCUCUCUCGUUGGCUUCUGCAGUUAGCUACAUAGUUACAACAGCGACUAGUUAGUCCAUCUUUAUGAGCUGUGUCUCCUGAGAACCUUGAGGAGCUGGGAUAAACCCCUGCGAACAAAAAGCUAUCUGGGAAGGGAAGGUUCCUCGUCUCUCAGAUCCCAGGCCACCAUCGAGGGCGCCCAGGUAGAAACAGGAGGAUGACUGUGGAGGAGCGCCGCCCUCUGAUUGCUCCCACAGCUGCUUCUGCCUGCAUUCUCUUUUUUAAAAAGUUAUUUUACCCAUUUGGCUGAGGGAAGAUCGCAGAGUCACCAAGGGGCCAGGAGUGUGGGUACCCGCUUUGUUUGCUAAUUUGCUUUGCAGGUCUGAUUUAGUGGCACAACCUGACAUGUGGCGAGAGUCCCAAGUUUCACACACAGCAUGGGAAUGAUGCAGGACAACAGCAGGCCAGCCUGGAGAGUUCUUAGAGGACUCUGUGGAGAAUCAGUCUUGUUCUGACCCAAGGUGGUUAGCUUUCCACCAACAAACUCGGGGACACCACCAUUUAACAAGUUGGCCCGUGUUUCCUUUUGUUUUUUUGUUUUUUUUUUUUUUUUGUUUUGUUUUUUUUAAGAUCUAUUUAUUUUUAUUAUCUGUAAGUACACUGUAGCUGUCUUCAGACACUCCAGAAGAGGGAGUCAGAUCUCAUUACGGAUGGUUGUGAGCCACCACAUGGUUGCUGGGAUUUGAACUUCGGACCUUUGGAAGAGCAGUCAGGUGCUCUUACCCACUGAGCCAUCUCACCAGCCCCCCGUGUUUCCUUUUAAUAGCAAACAAAGCACUAGCAUUUAUUCUAAACCCUUUACUCAGAGCUAGAACUGUGUGGCCAUCUUGAAAAUGAAGCCCUCAUGGUUUUGCUAUCUUGUCCCUUAGACCGGGUUCUGAGACAUUGUAUCC
ensembl:lincRNA Gm26815 predicted gene, 26815